rnacentral:rRNA from 1 species
AUGAGUUACUCGAUCUCACAGCAGGAGUUUGCCACUCUGAUUACCACUCUGUGGCCUAUUUGGUAUGCAAGGCGAAAAGUUAUUCACGAAGGAAUUCUGCAGACACCGUUUGCAACACAUGCAUUCAUAAACAGAUUUAUAUCUGAUCUUGAGUGCCUUGCUUCUCCACCUCCUGCAGCUCGAGUAGCAACCCCGCCACAACCAACCGGCUGGAUACCUCCCCCAGAGGGCCAUGUAAAGAUCGAUUCCAAUGUCGCAGUAUCAAGGUCGGGUCGCUAUGGCGCGGUUGGGGCAAUCUGCCGGGAUGAAUCAGGCAUCUUCCAAGGAGCGUCAGUUUUCGUGUUUGGAAACAUCAGAGAUCCGGAAGUACUUGAAGUUUUGGGCAUCAGAGAAGCCUUAGCUUUAGCUAAUGAUCUAUACUUUCAAAGGGUGUCGAUUGCUUCUGAUUGCAAAGCUGUGGUGGAGGCGAUAGGGAAAGGUUCCUCAUCUGAAUAUGGGGCAAUGGUGCUGGAGAUUAAUCAGUCGUCUGGAGAUUUCAUUUCUUGUAUUUUCUCUCCUGAGUUUAGAACCUCGAAUGUUGAGGCCCACAAUCUUGCAAAGCAUGCUUUAACUCUAGGGACCGGUCGUCAUGUUUGGUUAGGCCACCAUGGAGAUCGUUGUCUUUUCCCUGUAAACAUUGUGACGGGUUAA